GACCAGCCUCUGGAAAAGUCUCCGAAUUGGAUCGAGGUUUUGGCUACCCCACCAUUGUCAGGCAUCCCGAGCGCGUUCCCGAAGUCGGAAUCAGCAAAGGUGAGCCGGGACAGCCUUCUUCCUCCGCCCAGCCGCCACAGUGAUUGUCGUCAAGUCUGCUACAGGAGGAUUUUAUUUUGGUUAACCUGCUUUUCUCCUUCGCAGGUUGUUUAUCGAUAUUUGUGUAAUUUUAUUUACUCCUAGAAUUUCCGCAUGUGUUAGAAGUAUUUAUUUGAUUAUGGUCUGUAAUAUUAUUAUCAUGUUGGACCUGUAAACGUAUAAUGAUAUGCAUGUUUGAUGGAUUGGAUGAGGGAGCUGAGCUCCCAUUUAUUUUUA